rnacentral:rRNA from 1 species
CCUACGGGUGGCAGCAGUGAGGAAUAUUGGUCAAUGGGAGAGAUCCUGAACCAGCCAAGCCGCGUGAGGGAAGACGGCCCUAUGGGUUGUAAACCUCUUUUGUCGGAGAACAAAACCCGGGACGUGUCCCGGACUGCGUGUAUCCGAAGAAAAAGCAUCGGCUAACUCCGUGCCAGCAGCCGCGGUAAUACGGAGGAUGCGAGCGUUAUCCGGAUUUAUUGGGUUUAAAGGGUGCGUAGGCGGCCUGUUAAGUCAGCGGUAAAAGCCCGGGGCUCAACCCCGGCGAGCCGUUGAAACUGGCGGGCUGGAGUUGGAGAGAAGUACGCGGAAUGCGCGGUGUAGCGGUGAAAUGCUUAGAUAUCGCGCAGAACCCCGAUUGCGAAGGCAGCGUACCGGCUCCACACUGACGCUGAGGCACGAAAGCGUGGGUAUCGAACAGGAUUAGAUACCCUGGUAGUC